UACGUAGGGCCCGAGCGUUGUCCGGAAUUACUGGGCGUAAAGAGCUCGUAGGUGGUUUGUCGCGUUGUUCGUGAAAACUCACAGCUCAACUGUGGGCGUGCGGGCGAUACGGGCAGACUUGAGUACUGCAGGGGAGACUGGAAUUCCUGGUGUAGCGGUGGAAUGCGCAGAUAUCAGGAGGAACACCGGUGGCGAAGGCGGGUCUCUGGGCAGUAACUGACGCUGGAGGAGCGAAAAGCCGUGGGGAGCGAAACAGG
rnacentral:rRNA from 1 species